rnacentral:rRNA from 1 species
AUUGAACGCUGGCGGCAGGCCUAACACAUGCAAGUCGAACGAGUGGCGGACGGGUGAGUAAUGUCUGGGAAACUGCCUGAUGGAGGGGGAUAACUACUGGAAACGGUAGCUAAUACCGCAUACCAUCAGAUGUGCCCGGAUGGGAUUAGCUAGUUGGUGGGGUAACGGCUCACCAAGGCGACGAUCCCUCGCUGGUCUGGGAGGAUGACCAGCAACACUGGAACUGAGACACGGUCCAGACGCCAACGGGAGGCAGAAGUGGGGAAGAUGGAACAAGGGGCGAAAGCCUGAUGCAGCCAUGCCGCGUGUAUGAAGAAGGCCUUCGGGUUGUAAAGUACUUUCAGCGGGGAGGCGUUACCCGCAGAAGAAGCACCGGCUAACUCCGUGCCAGCCGCCGCGGUAAUA